GCGUGCGGCGGAGGGAGGGGCAGUGGGCGCGAGCGUGUGGGAGUGCACGUGCUGGUCCCCAGCAGCUACCCUUCCUUUUCUCAACCUCUGCCCCUCCCCUCUCCCUCUUCCUGUCGCUCUCUGUUGCCUCCACCACAUUGGCUGCCAGGACCCUGAUGUCAGGGACGUCCGCUAGAGCGGAUUGGGCAGACGCAAGAGUUCGGGAAUUCGGCUCGGUAGUCUAGCUCUCCUGUUACUCUGGCAACAGGGCAAGCAACCUGGGGGGGGGGGGGGAGGGAAGCGGUGCUCAGCUCCGCGCCAGGGUCCCGCCUCUCUCCUAACUACCGCCGAAUCCGUUUUCGCGCCAGCUUGCUGCCUGCCCUCCUUCCUCCCAGGCUCUCCCUGUCCCGAGAACCAGGCAUCCUGCCCUAGAUCUUUCCCAGGCUCAGUCUCCCUCACUCGCCAACUCCCACCCCCCAAGUCAGAGCCACAAGCCACAGUAGACUGGAAGCGUAUCUGCGUUGCUUAGUAACUAGCCCGCGUGUCCCUUCCCCACUAUUUACCCCAACUGCGGGAGGCAGAGACUGAGUCCCCAGCCCCCUCCUCACCCCAUGCAUUUCGCCCUCCCGCCCACAAUUUCCUGUAAGGGGCAGAGGUGACAGGAAACCAAAAGAGCACCUCAGCCCACCUUUCCCUCUGGCUGGGGAGGGCAGCUCUGGCUGCUUUCACCGCCCUAUCCCCCACCUCACUCCCCUCAGCUCAGGCUGUGUGUCUCACCCUCGCCAUCUCGUGGCUUUGCCGGGAACCUCAAGCACAAAGAAGAGCCCCAGCCGGGAGAGGGCAGAGUAGGGCAGGACCAGGGAUGACGAGACGAGCGGGAUGAAGUCGAGUGAAGGGAGGCCCCUCUCGCCUCAGCACAGGUGCCAAAAAAGAUACCGAAUGCAGAUUGUAGAGUUUGGGGUGUAACGUGCGGGAUCCAGCCCCGAUCCCUGUCUGACAAACCCCUAUUCCAUUUGGAUCACGCGCCUUUCCAAAGCCGGAAGUGGAUCGUGGGCAUGAGGCAGACAAGCUGCAUGGGUUCUGCUUCCACCAAGCAGGAGUUUUUCCGGUCCCAGCCAGCACCC